GUUUCUGGUUGCAUUGUGAGAAUCGUUCUGUCUGUUUUUGUCCUGCAGUGGGUUUGAGCAACCCAGAGUUACUAAAUGAACUGAAACAACCACCCACGCUCAAACACGUCCCCGCGCACACGGGACUGAAAACCGUGUUCAGGGGACGAGGACGACAGAAUCAGACGGCAGAGAGUCAGUCCGUCAGUGAUAAGCCCCACCCUCUGCAGUGAUGUGGGCGGGUGGAUUGCUCUGGUUAUGAGGACCUUUAGUGAACACAUCUGUCAUGUUUGUGUGCAAAUAUGAAAACAGUUUGUCAAUCUGUAGCACAUAUGAUGUUUAAACAAUGUAUGUCAUAUCAAAUAUGAAAUAAAAAUCAAAGCUGAGGUGGUGUGUGUGUGUGUGUGUGUGUGUGUGUGUGUGUGAGAGUGUGUGUGUCAGAACUCAAGUGGCCAAAUGGAAUUUUAAAUGGAAUU
rnacentral:lncRNA from 1 species